CACCCCCUCCAGGUUGUUGGCUGUGCUGCUCUGUCCCGUUCAACCAACAACUGAACGUUUUAGGUAAUCGGCUCGAAGUUUGGACAUAUUUUCAGUUUUUACUACAACCGCUACGAUAAACGAUUAUGUCGUACUCGGCGAAAUGUUCGUCGGACGUCUUGACCUUAUAUGUGCAAAUGUCGUGACCUAACUAGUUAUAGAUGCAACAAAUCAAGCAGGAAUUCAAA